UCGUAACAAGGUUUCCGUAGGUGAACCUGCGGAAGGAUCAUUACCGAGUGUAGGUUCCUAGCGAGCCCACCUCCCACCCGUGUUUACUGUACCUUAGUUGCUUCGGCGGGCCCGCCGUCAAGGCCGCCGGGGGGCAUCAGCCCCCGGGCCCGCGCCCGCCGGAGACACCACGAACUCUGUCUGAUCUAGUGAAGUCUGAGUUGAUUGUAUCGCAAUCAGUUAAAACUUUCAACAAUGGAUCUCUUGGUUCCGGCAUCGAUGAAGAACGCAGCGAAAUGCGAUAACUAGUGUGAAUUGCAGAAUUCCGUGAAUCAUCGAGUCUUUGAACGCACAUUGCGCCCCCUGGUAUUCCGGGGGGCAUGCCUGUCCGAGCGUCAUUGCUGCCCAUCAAGCACGGCUUGUGUGUUGGGUCGUCGUCCCCUCUUCGGGGGGGACGGGCCCUAAAGGCAGCGGCGGCACCGCGUCCGAUCCUCGAGCGUAUGGGGCUUUGUCACCCGCUCUGUAGGCCCGGCCGGCGCUUGCCGAACGCAAAACAACCA
rnacentral:misc_RNA from 1 species